rnacentral:rRNA from 1 species
UGGGGGAGCUUACCAUGCAAGUCGAACGAUGAAGCCCAGCUUGCUGGGUGGAUUAGUGGCGAACGGGUGAGUAACACGUGAGUAACCUGCCCUUGACUCUGGGAUAAGCCUGGGAAACUGGGUCUAAUACCGGAUAGGAACGUCCACCGCAUGGUGGGUGUUGGAAAGAUUUAUCGGUCAUGGAUGGACUCGCGGCCUAUCAGCUUGUUGGUGAGGUAAUGGCUCACCAAGGCGACGACGGGUAGCCGGCCUGAGAGGGUGACCGGCCACACUGGGACUGAGACACGGCCCAGACUCCUACGGGAGGCAGCAGUGGGGAAUAUUGCACAAUGGGCGAAAGCCUGAUGCAGCGACGCCGCGUGAGGGAUGACGGCCUUCGGGUUGUAAACCUCUUUCAGUAGGGAAGAAGCGAAAGUGACGGUACCUGCAGAAGAAGCACCGGCUAACUACGUGCCAGCAGCCGCGGUAAUACGUAGGGUGCGAGCGUUAUCCGGAAUUAUUGGGCGUAAAGAGCUCGUAGGCGGUUUGUCGCGUCUGUCGUGAAAGUCCGGGGCUUAACCCCGGGAUCUGCGGUGGGUACGGGCAGACUAGAGUGCAGUAGGGGAGACUGGAAUUCGUGGUGUAGCGGUGGAAUGCGCAGAUAUCAGGAGGAACACCGAUGGCGAAGGCAGGUCUCUGGGCUGUAACUGACGCUGAGGAGCGAAAGCAUGGGGAGCGAACAGGAUUAGAUACCCUGGUAGUCCAUGCCGUAAACGUUGGGCACUAGGUGUGGGGACCAUUCCACGGUUUCCGCGCCGCAGCUAACGCAUUAAGUGCCCCGCCUGGGGAGUACGGCCGCAAGGCUAAAACUCAAAGGAAUUGACGGGGGCCCGCACAAGCGGCGGAGCAUGCGGAUUAAUUCGAUGCAACGCGAAGAACCUUACCAAGGCUUGACAUGUUCUCGAUCGCCGUAGAGAUACGGUUUCCCCUUUGGGGCGGGAUCACAGGUGGUGCAUGGUUGUCGUCAGCUCGUGUCGUGAGAUGUUGGGUUAAGUCCCGCAACGAGCGCAACCCUCGUUCCAUGUUGCCAGCACGUAAUGGUGGGGACUCAUGGGAGACUGCCGGGGUCAACUCGGAGGAAGGUGGGGACGACGUCAAAUCAUCAUGCCCCUUAUGUCUUGGGCUUCACGCAUGCUACAAUGGCCGGUACAAUGGGUUGCGAUACUGUGAGGUGGAGCUAAUCCCAAAAAGCCGGUCUCAGUUCGGAUUGGGGUCUGCAACUCGACCCCAUGAAGUCGGAGUCGCUAGUAAUCGCAGAUCAGCAACGCUGCGGUGAAUACGUUCCCGGGCCUUGUACACACCGCCCGUCAAGUCACGAAAGUCGGUAACACCCGAAGCCGGUGGCCUAACCCUUGUGGGGGAGCCGUCGAAUGUGACAGC